rnacentral:rRNA from 1 species
AUUCCAGCUCCAAUAGCGUAUAUUAAAGUUGUUGCAGUUAAAAAGCUCGUAGUUGGAUUUCUGGUCUGAUGCCCUGGCCCGCGUCCGAUUUCGGAGUGAGUGCCGGCUGUGCGUCUACCAUCCUUCUAGAAAACGGAUCUACCCUUCACUGGGCCGGGUUCGCGAUCUAGAUCUUUUACUUUGAAAAAAUUAGAGUGUUUAAAGCAGGCUUUUGCUAUGAAUACAUUAGCAUGGAAUAAUAAUCUAGGACUUCGGUUCUAUUUUGUUGGUUUCUAGUACUGAAGUAAUGAUUGAUAGGGAUAGUUGGGGGUGCUAGUAUUGGGCGGCCAGAGGUGAAAUUCUUGGAUUCGCUCAAGACUAACUUAUGCGAAAGCAUUCACCAAGGAUGUCUUCAUUA